GAUGAACGCUAGCGGCAGGCUUAAUACAUGCAAGUCGAGGGACAGCACAGGUAGCAAUACUGGGUGGUAACCGGCAAACGGGUGCGGAACACGUACACAACCUUCCUUUAAGUGGGGGAUAGCCCAGAGAAAUUUGGAUUAAUACCCCGUAAUAUAGUUGAAUGGCAUCAUUUGAUUAUUAUAGCUACGGCGCUUAAUGAUGGGUGUGCGGCUGAUUAGAUAGUUGGCGGGGUAACGGCCCACCAAGUCUACGAUCAGUAGCUGAUGUGAGAGCAGGAUCAGCCACACGGGCACUGAGACACGGGCCCGACUCCGACGGGAGGCAGCAGUAAGGAAUAUUGGUCAAUGGACGCAAGUCUGAACCAGCCAUGCCGCGUGAAGGAUUAAGGUCCUCUGGAUUGUAAACUUCUUUUAUUUGGGACGAAAAAGGGCCUUUCUAGGUCAACUGACGGUACCAGAUGAAUAAGCACCGGCUAACUCCGUGCCAGCCGCCGCGGUAACAC
rnacentral:rRNA from 1 species